AUAAACCUUUUUAUUUUGGCGGCUUUUCAUCUAAUUAGAGGAACUUGUCAACUAAUCGAUAAUCCACGAUAACUUUCACUUUAAUUAAAAAGUUUAUAUAUCGCCAUCUCAAGAAUUACUUUUAAAAUAUACUCUUAAUAAUAAAUAAAAAGUUAGGUCAAGGUGUAACCUAUAUUAAAGAUAUAAAUGAGUUACAUUAAAUUUAAUUUAAGAAUUUGUAUUAUAUACAAUAUAAUGAAAAAGGAUUUAAAAGUAAUUAUUUUAUAAUAUUAAUAAUA
rnacentral:rRNA from 1 species